rnacentral:tRNA from 1 species
NNUCUCGUAGUGUAGCGGUUAACACGCCUGCCUGUCACGCAGGAGAUCGCGGGUUCGAUUCCCGUCGAGACCGCCA